rnacentral:rRNA from 1 species
GUCUACGGCCAUGCUACCCUGAAUAAGCCCAAUCCCAUCUGAUCUCGGAAGCUAAGCCUGGUUAGUGCUUGGAUGGGAGACCACCUAGGAAGACCAGGUGCUGUAGGUG